rnacentral:tRNA from 1 species
ACCCCCGUAGUGUAGUGGUCAAUCAUGCAGGACUUUGGAUCCGGCGACGGCGGUUCGAAUCCGCCCGGGGGUACUA